rnacentral:lncRNA from 1 species
GACUUUUAUCUGCACUGUUUCAACAGUAGGUAGCCAGUCUUUUUACUGCCUGCCUCUGGCUGAAGCUCGGCCCACACUAUCAGGACUCAGUCCUGUAGGGAUUACUCUGCCACACAGCUACAGCACCAGCUGGCACAAAUGGCCUUCUCUCCAACUUCCUCAGGCUUCCCUGAGUCACUGCCCAGCCCUAGGACUGGCAACACCCUGGCCCUGCUCACCCAUCCACCCUUGGCAAGAGGGAAAGAGGAAGAAGCCUGCAGAGAGCUGAUGCCCUGCUUCCAGAUGCUGCUCCAUUCUCAGGCCAAGCCUCAAGAUGGGGGGGAACCUGAGUGGGAGCCUCUCUCCUGGCUUGCGUUCCCUCCUACUUCUGGGAAAGCAGGGCAGUGACAGUCCCUGUUCUCAUGUGUCUGCCCUUGGCUGGGCUCUCCUCACCUCCCCAAAGGCCAGGCAGGGUCCCAUUCAGCAGACCUGACUGUAAGGAAUUGGCAAGAAAUGACGUCCCUAGCCAGCCUGGCCUCCCCUUUGGUAUUUUUGCAGCUGGAGAUUAUUAGUCUCAAGCAAAACUCCUUUGUUAUCCAAGCCCACUCCACCACAUUAUUUUCCUCUCUCCUAAA